UUGUCUCAAAGAUUAAGCCAUGCAUGUCUCAGUACAAGCCGAAUUAAGGUGAAACCGCGAAAGGCUCAUUAAAUCAGUUAUGGUUCCUUAGAUCGUACCCACAUUUACUUGGAUAACUGUGGUAAUUCUAGAGCUAAUACAUGCAAACAGAGCUCCAACCGGAAACGGAAGGAGCGCUUUUAUUAGAUCAAAACCAAUCGGUGGCGGUCUCCGUCAUCGUACAACUUGGUGAAUCUGAAUAACUUUACGCUGAUCGCACGGUCUCGCACCGGCGACGCAUCUUUCAAAUGUCUGCCUUAUCAACUGUCGAUGGUAGGUUCUGCGCCUACCAUGGUUGUAACGGGUAACGGGGAAUCAGGGUUCGAUUCCGGAGAGGGAGCCUGAGAAACGGCUACCACAUCCAAGGAAGGCAGCAGGCGCGCAAAUUACCCACUCCCGGCACGGGGAGGUAGUGACGAAAAAUAACGAUACGGGACUCAUCCGAGGCCCCGUAAUCGGAAUGAGUACACUCUAAACCCUUUAACGAGGAUCAAUUGGAGGGCAAGUCUGGUGCCAGCAGCCGCGGUAAUUCCAGCUCCAAUAGCGUAUAUUAAAGUUGUUGCGGUUAAAAAGCUCGUAGUCGAAUUUGUGUCCCGCGCCGCCGGUUCAUCGUUCGCGGUGUUAACUGGCGUGCCGCGGGACGUCCUGCCGGUGGGCUUAGCUCGAGAGGGCGGCCCAACUCAAUCCCGCCGCGGUGCUCUUCAUUGAGUGUCGAGGUGGGCCGGCACGUUUACUUUGAACAAAUUAGAGUGCUUAAAGCAGGCUAAAACUUCGCCUGAAUACUGUGUGCAUGGAAUAAUGGAAUAGGACCUCGGUUCUAUUUUGUUGGUUUUCGGAACCCCGAGGUAAUGAUUAAUAGGAACGGAUGGGGGCAUUCGUAUUGCGACGUUAGAGGUGAAAUUCUUGGAUCGUCGCAAGACGGACAGAAGCGAAAGCAUUUGCCAAAAACGCUUUCAUUGAUCAAGAACGAAAGUUAGAGGUUCGAAGGCGAUCAGAUACCGCCCUAGUUCUAACCAUAAACGAUGCCAGCUAGCGAUCCGCCGACGUUCCUCCGAUGACUCGGCGGGCAGCUUCCGGGAAACCAAAGCUUUUGGGUUCCGGGGGAAGUAUGGUUGCAAAGCUGAAACUUAAAGGAAUUGACGGAAGGGCACCACCAGGAGUGGAGCCUGCGGCUUAAUU
rnacentral:rRNA from 1 species